AAAUGCUUUGGUUUGAAUUUCCCUGGCUGUUGUAUGUGAGGUUUGUCUGCACCUCAUUCAGAUUCAAGAUGCACUUUGAUAGAAUUAAGAGAGGAACUGAAAGAGCGAAGAAAAUCCUCCAUUCAAGAUUCUUUUACUGGAGCAUGGACCUACUAGGUGAUUUCUGGACAAAGAUAAUUUUCAGUAUGUAAGACAGGAACCAAAGUUAGGAGUGACACCUCCGAGGAAUUGUACCCCUCGCCACAGAGCAGACUUGCCUUGUCUCUGCUCUUCGAUCAUUUGGAUUGGACCAAGCUGCUGUUUUUGGAACCCUCAACUUAACGGCUAUUCACGGAACCCUCUUACCUUCCAGAAAAUGUAGUACUUUGCCAAGAACCACAGUUAACAUCAUUACCACUUAAGAAUUAAGUCCAGCAAAAUGUGCCUUUUCAAUGAUGACGUUCUAGCAAUAAAUUUUCUUAAAACUAAAAAAAGAGGAUAAUGGUCGCAAUUUUGGGCUUUGAUAUUGGAGAACAACAGUGGUUACAGCAUGGAACCUCACUGAGAAUAUAGCAUUGAAACAAUAUCAUUGAGACAUAACUGCCUAUACAUUUGAUUUUUCUGAAUACGGUAAUAGAGGAACACAAUUUAAAAGUUUUGCUCA
rnacentral:lncRNA from 1 species